AUGUUCUCUUCCUCCACCUGGAUCUCACCUUGUCUGGUUCUCCUGUCGAUUGUCAGGUUUUCGGGAAGACAUCACAGUCAGCUUUUUAACAUUUUCACUCAAGGUGACUACAGGUGCUGUAAGCUGGCAGAGAGACUGGGGCCAGGGGCAGAUGGCGCCCAUGAAUAUGCAGUGACUGGUCCGGAGAAGAAAGAGAAUACAGCAUGCAGAGGAAUUUAUCAAAGAGCUGCUGUCCCGGAUAAGAGGCAUGAGGAAACUGAGCCCUCCGCAGAAGAAGAGUGUAUGAUUCUGAACAGGGUGGAAAUCUCUCUAAGACAAAGAAAGGCCCUGCAAUGUAGACUUCAUGAAGACUUUUAUUAAACAAUAGUUGUUCUUAUGAAAAACUUUUUUUUGGUGUGUGGGGAGGGACUCUAUUAGACUUUUAUUCAGAAGUGUUCCUUUUUUGUUGUUUUUUUAAAAAGGCUUUUAUUAGUGUAAUAUUUUAAUAGAAAAGAUAUCAUGACUCUGACUUCAGCCUAACCAAGGAUGAUCAAAGCAGGUAGACAUCCAAGGAUAGGUCAGGCCAGGCUGUUUUCUGCAAAGACUCAGAUACUUAGGUCCUUAUUAUACAGGGAAGAUGGUUUUCUUACAACCAGUUUGGUAAUAAUUUUUCUUAAGUUGUACAUUUGACUCAGAUGUCUAGCUUCUUGUACUUGUAUAUAUCUACACACUACUAAGUUAAAACGUAGAUGUGAGUUUUAUUUCAUAUUGAUGGAAUAAGCUUGUGGACAUCCUUUCAUGGGAGGUCACAGCACAUGGGUUUUUCAUGAGGCCAUGAGGCAUUCUUCGUGUGAAUGCUGUUGACCUUCAACAUUUACUUUCUGCACCAAAGUGAAAUGAGCUACACUACAAAAAUGUUGAGUUGGUCAAGGGCUUAAUUUCUGAACUUUCUAUUGUUUCCUUGGUUGGGAUGCUUUGCCAGAUCAUGUACUUUUUGCCUCAUUUGUGGUUGUUUAAAGUUUUAUGAACCCUUAAUUUGAAGAACUAACUUGAUUUCUAGAGAAAUGCCCGUGCUCUCUGGGUGGUAUCUUACAAUGGAAAAAAGAGUACGGUGUAGCAGUGAGUUCUCUGCUUUCAACCAAAUGCUGUGUAUUAUUCUCUCUCCAUGAAAGCAGGUCUGAGGAAGUUAGUAGAUUGAGUGUCUUCCUCCUCAAAGAUAGAUUCUGGUUCCUUCUGCACAUGGGUAGUGUCAGACCAGAAGUAUGAACUGAGUGUUGAACAAGUAUAAAGAUGAAAAUACAUCAUCUUCUUUUGCUGACUGUUGAUACAGCAGAGUGGCAGGUUCAGCAGCAUGGUUGCAUUUCUAGUUUUUCUCAUUGGCUCAUGUGGAGGAUUCUGGGGUGCCUGGCCCUAAUUUUAACCUUAAUCUCCAUGCUUGGAGCAAGGCCCAAACACCUGCCCUGCUCCGUUAGCUACAUACCAGAUCUCUGGAGAAGAAUUAAAAUUCAGAUGGCAUGUGGGAGGGGCAAGAGAUGAGAGGAGAAACUCUUCCUGCUCUUCAGGAGGUCCCUGCUGCCUCCUCAUGGAAACCCCACCUACUGUAAGAUGUCUCUAGGUGGCCCUGUCAGAGGACAGGGACCAGGCAUUUUAUAUCAAGGGUGCUUUGAACAUAUUUUAUUUUUUAAGAGAACUAUGUUUGUGAAUUUUAUGUAUACUGGCAAGCUUUUGAAAAUGUAUUUAAUUUUGUAAUGUUUACCAAUGAUUUAUUUACAAGCUAUUUACUCAAAUAAAUGGAGCUGCUUACAAACCUGUUUCCAUGUAUGCCUUGCAGAACAUGUUAACGUAAUGACUUUCUUUACCAGUUUCUCUGCAGAAAUGCCAAGC
ensembl:lincRNA